AGCCAGUUUCCUCAGGUGACUUACUCUCCCUGUCUCCUAAAAAGAGGAUUUCACUGGUUCUCCUCUCUCCUCCAAACUACCUGCUUGCUGAGAAAAUAAAAGCACAAGAGAGCUUCUGCAGAGAACCUCAGUUAAAGUCUGCCUUGUGGUGCUCCACGUCACCUGUGAAGGGCCACUCAAGUCCCUCUGGGAGAAGCUGCUGCAAGGAACGAAGUCAUGCUGACCUCCAGCUGAUGCACCUUCGGGCCCCUCCGCAAUCUGGAGAACUUUCCAGGAUAUCCAGGCAUCUUGCUGUGUGUGAGCAGGCUCAGAACAAGAAGCUCUUAACAUGCUCUGAAAGUAAACCUGCAACCCAAGAGAAGCGGAGGGUGCUAAGAGAGCACAGAGCCUUUACCUGUAGCACCUACCACUGGGCUUGGCAAAGAGGAAGCUGGAAGGCCAGCUCCAAGUGUUCAAGCAAAAGCUAGCUGGCCAUCAAGUGGAACCACUCGCAAGAGGAGUCAUGCAUCGGAUGGAUCAUUUUACUAGAGGUCUACAGCUUCCUUCAGCGCCGAGCCUCUCGGAGUCAAAAGUGUCAUGGUUCUUUAAGUUGAAAAAGAAAAGUCGGAUGUUUGUCUCCAAGGAACAAUUUGGAGUGCGAAUCAAUGGAAGGCCAUUUGCAUAUGGCUACUGCCAAGAAGGAACUUACAGGUUGAGAUGAGAGGCCGGAGAGUUUGAAUCUGUGUUGGGGUUAAGGACCCAGUAAACUGUUUUUCUGUUAACUGUGUAACUCUCAGAAGGGAUCCAGUAAACCGUGUUUUUCUGUGUCGAAUGGAUCAGCUUAGACCUGAGGAAUGUCAGCAAUUUUCAUCUUCCCACACGGCUAGUCUAUAGUAAUUAGUUUUACUGCUUUUUUCACAAGCUAUUACUUUAAUUAUUUUAAUUAGAUUGUUCAUGCACUCAAGUUGUUUACAAGCACUUUCCUUUUUAUAGCACAUCAAUAAACAGUAGAAGGGAAACUACCAGCUUGGAGGAAGCCAAGUUUUUAUCAGGUAGGCCAUGGGCAAGAGCAUAGAAGAGCUUCUUCUACUGUAAACUGGGGGCUGCCCAGCAAGCUGGGACCUCCUUAGAAAGGACAAGAGUCCCUUCUACUGGGUGGAUCCAAGUCACGUGGGUAUCCUCUGUGGUCCUUGCCCCUUCAGUCAGAGCAACAGAGAGCAAAUAACCUGUUUUCUGUUUGUUCCUCUGACAACCACCACCACAGAGUAAAAAUUAAAGGUAGGCUUUUAUUAAAAUUCCACGUAUGUGGCAUCUCUCGGGUAUUUGACGUCUGAUUCCACCUCUUACUGGUGUGUGACCUUGAAGAAGUAACUUCUCAAAUUCUCAGUUUGCCUAUCUGUCAAAUGAAGGCAAAAGCACCAAACCGGUGGAAUCCUUUUGAUUAUUAAAGGAGUUUGCUGGGCAGCCCCGGUGGCCCAGCGCCUGAUCCUGGAGACCCGGGAUGGAGUCCCAUGUCGGGCUCCCUGCGUGGGGCUUGCUUCUCCCUCUGCCUGUGCUCCCACUGUGCCAGCACAGAACGGUGGUUGGACCAUCAUCUCUUCCCUCUUGCCUUCUUCUUCCCCUUCCCUUUUCUGCUCUUCCCAUCUCAGCAUGACAAAAUUGGGACUCUGGCCUAGACUUCAGGGCUCGUUACUUCCUUACUGUUCUUAAGCCUGUACUUUACAUAAGUAUGAAAGAGAGAAAGUGAAAUAACAAUUUCCAAGGAAUUAUCACUCUUUGAAUAGUCUUAUUGGGACAUCUGAAGGACCUCAAGUUCCUUUUCUCUGGGGUGGUUGGCUCACGCUCUCAAAAGUCAUGCGCAGGAGCCCUUUGGAACGUGUGUCCCUUGGCAGAUUCUUCCCUCCCCCUGGGGGAGGCCAGCGGCCCUGGGGGCGGGGAGGGUGCGCUGCAGGUGCAGGAGGCUCCCCACGCUCCACCCCGCCUCCGCCUCCAGGGACUGGCCCUCCCGGGGAGGAGACCGGGACUGGGACAGAAGACCCUGUGCGUCAUUAAUUUUUUUUUUUAAGUACCUAAAACCUACUUUGAGCUUUUCUUUACCAAAGCCCAGCACUAGAAAGCCCUGCUGCCAUGCUCUCAGGGCCGUCUCUCAUUUGCUCAGGUGUAAACUUGGAAAAGAAACCAGGAGUCGCCAAAGCAGCCCCGCCUUCGAUAACCCGUCAAAGCAGGGAAUUGGGGCUCUUUGCAGCAGAUCCCAGGAACCCCAUUUCCCUCCUAUAUGAUGGGGCUGCCAAAUUGCAACCAGUGAAGCGUAAUCUUAAAAGGUGAUUUUCUUUUUUUUUUUAUAUUUUUUAAUUUUUAUUUAUUUAUGAUAGUCACAGAGAGAGAAAGAGAGGCAGAGACACAGGCAGAGGGAGAAGCAGGCUCCAUGCAGAGAGAGAAAGAGAG